rnacentral:rRNA from 1 species
AAGGGCUUAUGACCAGACCUUUGCCUUGCGGAUCAUCCGGUGUUCUCACCGGUGCACUUCGCUUGGUUUAGGCCAGCAUCGAUUUUGGUAGGGGGAUAAAGACUUUAGUAAUGUGGCUCCUCCGGGAGUGUUAUAGACUAUUGUGUAAUACCUUUACUGGGAUCGAGGACCGCGCUUCGGCUAGGAUGCUGGCAUAAUGGUCAUUAGC